rfam:Hyphomonas neptunium ATCC 15444, complete genome.
GCCGCCUUAGCUCAGUUGGUUAGAGCGCUGGUUUGUGGAACCAGAGGUCCUCCGUUCAAGCCGGAGAGGCGGUA